rnacentral:rRNA from 1 species
CCCUAUGGGGUGCAGCAGGCGGGUCGAUAAGUCAGAGGUGAAAUUUCACAGCUUAACUGUGAAUGUGCUUUUGAUACUGUCGGUCUAGAGUUCAGAAGAGGGCAAUGGAAUUCUUGGUGUAGCGGUAAAAUGCAUAGAUAUCAAGAAGAACACCAGUUGCGAAGGCGGUUGCCUGGUCUGUAACUGACGCUCAAGCACGAAAGCGUGGGGAUCAAACA